UACAGAGGGUGCAAGCGUUGUUCGGAAUUACUGGGCGUAAAGCGCACGUAGGCGGACCAGUCAGUUGGGGGUGAAAUCCCGGGGCUCAACCCCGGAACUGCCUCCAAAACUGCUGGUCUGGAGUUCGAGAGAGGCGAGUGGAAUUCCGAGUGUAGAGGUGAAAUUCGUAGAUAUUCGGAGGAACACCAGUGGCGAAGGCGGCUCGCUGGCUCGGUACUGACGCUGAGGUGCGAAAGCGUGGGGAGCAAACAGG
rnacentral:rRNA from 1 species